rnacentral:rRNA from 1 species
CUUCGGGAUAGGUAGUAGUUAAGGUGAUGGCUUAACUAGCUUAAAAUUCUCGUAGUCGAAGCUGAAAGGUUGAUCGACCACAUUGGGUCUGAAAAAACCCCAAUGCAAGUUAGUACAGCAGUGAGGAAUCUUGGUCAAUGGCCUAACGGCUGAACUGGCAACUUGGAGAAGUGGCAAGUCUUAUUUUUGAUUAUAAUUUUAGAUAAUCUAUAAGAUUGUAUUAAAAUUGAAUAAAACUUUGUUUAUAUAUUGAUAAUGACAAUAUAUAUAUCGUGUCUUGACUAAUUACGUGCCAGCAGUCGCGGUAAUACGUAAGAGACUAGUGUUAUUCAUCUUAAUUAGGUUUAAAGGGUCCCUAGACGGUCAAUAUAGCUUCUAGAAUGUUAGUACUUGACUAGAGUUUGAUGUAAGGGGGCAGUACUUGAGGAGGAGAGAUGAAAUUCUAUUAUACCAAAGGGACUCGGUAAAGGCGAAGGCAGCCCUUUAUGUAAAAACUGACGUUGAAGGACGAAGGCACAGAGCACAAACAGGAUUAGAUACCCAAGUAGUCUUUGCAGUAAAUGAUGAAUGCCAUAGGUUAGAUUAUA